CGAUGUGGGAGAAGUUCUAAACCGCCACAUAGGUUGCGGUCACACCUCCUAAGUAAGUUAAACUUUGAAAAUGUAUAAUCACUCACCAAGGUUAAAUUGACCCCAUUACUCAACCGACUGAGCCUCUUGGAGGAACGUUUAUUACGUAAUCACUACCCGUGGAAGAAGAGAGACCGAUCUGAGCCUCGGAGGGCUCAGACAUCAGGACAUCAGCGUCCCAAGUGGCUUCGUUCCUUUGGAAAAAAAAAAAUGCUGUAGCACUCUGCUUAAAGGAGGAAGAAAAUCACACUUUGAUCUCUGAUAAGCGCAAAUUCAAGUCCUUGAGCUCAGCCUUUCAACAUCGCUGGCGGUUGGCGUGGUCUCCAUCACAGAGGCGGCCAUUCCAAACUGUUGGAGCUGCAGCUCUCUUCCUUUGAUCCCUUCCUGCCAGGUCCCGGAGUUCGCCUGCCAUGGCUCUACUUACUGCGGCAGCCUGGUUCUUGGGAACCAAAAACCCAUCCUGCCUUGUCCUUGCCGCCCGGCAUGCCAGUGCUUCUUCCACGAACUUGAAAGAUGUACUGAGCAAUCUGAUACCUAAGGAGCAAGCCAGAAUUAAGACCUUCAGAAAGAAACACGGGAAGACAGUUGUGGGCCAGAUCACUGUGGACAUGAUGUACGGUGGCAUGAGAGGCAUGAAGGGACUUGUGUAUGAGACAUCGGUUCUUGAUCCUGAUGAGGGCAUCCGUUUCCGAGGCUACAGUAUCCCUGAGUGCCAGAAACUGCUGCCUAAGGCUAAGGGUGGGAAAGAACCCCUGCCUGAGGGCUUAUUUUGGCUGCUGGUAACUGGACAGUUGCCCACAGAGGAACAGGUAUCUUGGCUCUCACGAGAAUGGGUAAAAAGGGCAGCUCUACCUUCUCAUGUUGUCACCAUGCUGGACAAUUUUCCGACCAAACUGCACCCCAUGUCUCAGCUCAGUGCAGCCAUCACAGUCCUCAACAAUGAAAGCAACUUUGCCCGGGCAUAUGCGGAGGGAAUGAACCGAACUAAGUACUGGGAGCUCACCUAUGAAGACUGUAUGGACCUGCUUGCCAAGCUACCGUGUGUUGCAGCAAAGAUCUACCGGAAUCUGUACCGGGAAGAUAGGAAUAUUGAGGCCGUUGACUCUAAGCUGGACUGGUCCCACAAUUUUACCAACAUGUUAGGCUACACGGACCCUCAGUUCACCGAGCUCAUGCGUUUGUACCUCACCAUCCACAGUGACCAUGAGGGUGGUAAUGUAAGUGCCCACACCAGCCAUUUGGUGGGCAGCGCCCUUUCUGAUCCUUACCUGUCCUUUGCAGCAGCCUUGAAUGGGCUGGCGGGGCCUCUCCAUGGGCUAGCAAAUCAGGAGGUGCUUGUCUGGCUGACACAGCUACAGAAGGAAGUUGGCGAAGAUGCAUCAGAUGAGAAGUUAAAAAACUACAUCUGGAACACACUCAACACAGGACGGGUUGUCCCAGGCUAUGGCCAUGCAGUAUUGAGGAAGACUGAUCCUCGCUAUUCCUGUCAGCGAGAGUUUGCUCUGAAAUAUUUGCCUAAGGAUCCCAUGUUCAAGCUGGUUGGUCAGCUGUACAAGAUUGUGCCCAAUAUCCUCUUAGAGCAAGGAAAGGCUAAGAACCCUUGGCCCAACGUAGACGCUCACAGUGGGGUGCUGCUCCAGUACUACGGCAUGAGGGAAAUGAAUUACUACACAGUCCUGUUCGGAGUGUCGCGGGCACUGGGCGUUCUGUCUCAGCUCAUCUGGAGCAGAGCCCUAGGCUUCCCUCUGGAAAGGCCCAAGUCCAUGAGCACGGAUGCUCUGAUGAAGUUUGUGAAUUCUGCGUCAGGAUAAAAUGGGAGACUGGGGGAGGAUAGAAAAUGGGAGACUGGGGGAGGAUAAGAAAAUGAGGAUAAAAAUUUAUUAAAAAUAAAUUCUAAUUUUUGUUUUGUUCCAGG